rnacentral:rRNA from 1 species
AACGCUGGCGGUAGGCCUAACACAUGCACGUCGAACGGCAGCACAGUAAGAGCUUGCUCUUCCGGGUGGCGAGUGGCGGACGGGUGAGGAAUACAUCGGAGUCUACUUUUUCGUGGGGGAUAACGUAGGGAAACUUACGCUAAUACCGCAUACGACCUACGGGUGAAAGCAGGGGAUCUUCGGACCUUGCGCGAUUGAAUGAGCCGAUGUCGGAUUAGCUAGUUGGCGGGGUAAAGGCCCACCAAGGCGACGAUCCGUAGCUGGUCUGAGAGGAUGAUCAGCCACACUGGAACUGAGACACGGUCCAGACUCCUACGGGAGGCAGCAGUGGGGAAUAUUGGACAAUGGGCGCAAGCCUGAUUCAGCCAUACCGCGUGGGUGAAGAAGGCCUUCGGGUUGUAAAGCCCUUUUGUUGGGAAAGAAAAGCAGCAGGUUAAUACCCCGCUGUUCUGACGGUACCCAAAGAAUAAGCACCGGCUAACUUCGUG